UACAGAGGUCCCAAGCGUUGUUCGGAUUCACUGGGCGUAAAGGGUGCGUAGGUGGCCAGGUAAGUUCGGUGUGAAAGCUCGGAGCUUAACUCCGAAGUGGCACUGAAUACUAUCUGGCUAGAGGGUCGGAGGGGAGACUGGAAUUCUCGGUGUAGCAGUGAAAUGCGUAGAUAUCGAGAGGAACACCAGUGGCGAAGGCGAGUCUCUGGACGACUCCUGACACUGAGGCACGAAAGCCAGGGGAGCAAACAGG
rnacentral:rRNA from 1 species